GAUGAAGAACGCAGCGAAAUGCGAUACGUAAUGUGAAUUGCAGAAUUCAGUGAAUCAUCGAGUCUUUGAACGCACAUUGCGCCCCCUGGUAUUCCGGGGGGCAUGCCUGUCCGAGCGUCAUUGCUGCCCUCAAGCACGGCUUGUGUGUUGGGCCCCCGCCCCCCGGUUCCCGGGGGGCGGGCCCGAAAGGCAGCGGCGGCACCGCGUCCGGUCCUCGAGCGUAUGGGGCUUCGUCACCCGCUCUUGUAGGCCCGGCCGGCGCUUGCCGACACAUCAAUCUUUUUUCCAGGUUGACCUCGGAUCAGGUAGGGAUACCCGCUGAACUUAAGCAUAUCAAUAAGCGGAGGA
rnacentral:misc_RNA from 1 species